rnacentral:piRNA from 1 species
AUCCAUAAAGACCUGGCUGCUAGG